CUAGGCCGGACUAACACGGCUGCAUCUCCAUCACUAGACCAGAAAUCAGGCUCACGUUUUAAACUGCGGGCAACUGGAACUACUAACUGAGGACUUGGUGGAGCCAGCCUAGCUUUUGAAGUCCUGUAACUCAUCCAGAGGUUCAGAGUCUAUUAAAAGAGCAGGUAAAGCAGGAAGCAGCACAAGUUCUGUUGCAGGUAUUAAUGGGUCCUACGCGUCCAGAGAUCCGGGUAACCAAAGCUGAAGGCUCAAAUGCCAAGCGUCUGCACUGGAGCUGUAUACAAUGAGAAUCUGAUAUGGAGACUGUGCAUACAGAGGGAAAAGAAAACAAGAUGCCCUGUCCAGGAAUGAGAGCCUGACCCGCUAGGUAUCCCUUGUUGGUGUCCAACCCAGCUGACGCUCGAUUCCUGUCUUGCGACUACGGAUUCUGGCUUGAGAUCGGGCUGCCCCGGACUCAGCUGUGCCGGGUGCUUCCAGGUACCUGAAUGGAGCCCUCCUGUGGCUGACACCAAGUGCUGGGCUUUCUGCCUGACACACCUGACGCUUGGUGCGGCUCCAGCGUCACCUGGGUUUACAGGGACUCUUGAAACAACGGUGCCAACGUCAGCAAAAGGCUUACUCCACUUCUCCCGCCCGCCCACGGCAAGAACCCAGCGUGAUCUGGCUGAGCGAUGCAGAUUGAAUGUUGCACUGUGGCGAUCAGGCAGCGGGACCACUUUUUAAUGAGGCUCUCCUCCCGGGCUAGAGGAAAUGGCCUGCCGUGCACAAGCUGGGCUACUUUCGUGGCCUGCCACGGCGGAAACGGAACGAUCGUGAGCACCGACUGACGUGUGGCCCGGCCUCCCGCGCCGUCUGGCAACUGACCCAGGAAGCAAGAGGGUCUGGUCACUGCUCAUUUGCUGUGUGGCUUCCCAUGUGCUGCCCAUUCGGGGCAAGCGGCCAGGCUGUCUGCCAUUCGUUAGGUGCUACUCACUGUCCUUGGCAGCAUCUGUACUGGGAACAAACCCAGGCUGCUUAGUGGCUACAGCACUGGGCCGGGAACCUGGCUUCCAUUCCCAGCUCUGCCACUGACCGGUUGGACGACCUUGGGCAAGUCACUUCAUCUAUCUGUGUGUGGUGUCCAGUUUUACACUCACUUCCCUCUCCUCCAUUGUAAAGUGCUUCCAGAUCUCCUGCUGAGGGUCAGUCCACUUCCUAGGCCAGUGGUUUUCAAACUAGGGGUUGCAACCCAGCGCUGGGUCAUGGAAUGUCGGGCA